rnacentral:rRNA from 1 species
CCUACGGGAGGCAGCAGUGGGGAAUAUUGGGCAAUGGGCGAAAGCCUGACCCAGCAACGCCGCGUGAAGGACGAAGGCCUUCGGGUUGUAAACUUCUUUGAUCAGGGACGAAUAAAUGACGGUACCUGAAGAACAAGCCACGGCUAACUACGUGCCAGCAGCCGCGGUAAU